rnacentral:rRNA from 1 species
GACGAACGCUGGCGGCGUGCCUAAUACAUGCAAGUAGGACGCUGAAGAGAGGAGCUUGCUCUUCUUGGAUGAGUUGCGAACGGGUGAGUAACGCGUAGGUAACCUGCCUUGUAGCGGGGGAUAACUAUUGGAAACGAUAGCUAAUACCGCAUAACAAUGGAUGACACAUGUCAUUUAUGUGAAAGGGGCAAUUGCUCCACUACAAGAUGGACCUGCGUUGUAUUAGCUAGUAGGUGAGGUAACGGCUCACCUAGGCGACGGUACAUAGCCGACCUGAGAGGGUUGUCGGCCACACUGGGACUGAGACACGGCCCAGACUCCUUCGGGAGGCAGCAGUAGGGAAUCUUCGGCAAUGGGGGCAACCCUGACCGAGCAACGCCGCGUGAGUGAAGAAGGUUUUCGGAUCGUAAAGCUCUGUUGUAAGUCAAGAACGAGUGUGAGAGUGGAAAGUUCACACUGUGACGGUAGCUGACCAGAAAGGGACGGCUAACUACGUG